UUAUCAUUGGCGUAGUGGUAACGCGCCCCAACUAGAGAUCGGGGAGUCGUGAGUUCGAUUCUCACUGAGAAG
rnacentral:tRNA from 1 species